rnacentral:rRNA from 1 species
UACAGAGGGUGCAAACGUUGCUCGGAAUUAUUGGGCGUAAAGCGCGUGUAGGCGGCUUGUUAAGUUGGUCGUGAAAGCCCACAGCUCAACUGUGGAAGUGCAACCAAAACUGGCAAGCUAGAGUUCUAAAGAGGAUGGCGGAAUUCCCAGUGUAGAGGUGAAAUUCGUAGAUAUUGGGAGGAACAUCGGUGGCGAAGGCGACUACCUGGCCUGUUCUUGACGCUGAGGCGCGAAAGCUAGGGGAGCAAACGGG